rnacentral:rRNA from 1 species
GUGCACCAGGCGAGAAUUUUUCUCAAUGGGGGAAACCCUGAAGGAGCGACGCCGCGUGGAGGAUGAAGGCUUUCGGGUUGUAAACUCCUGUCAUUUGAGAACAAGUGUAGCCAAAUAACUACUGGCUACUUGAUAGUAUCAGAAGAGGAAGGGACGGCUAACUCUGUGCCAGCAGCCGCGGUAAUACAGAGGUCCCAAGCGUUGUUCGGACUCAUUGGGCGUAAAGGGUGCGUAGGUGGCGCCGUCAGUGGGGUGUGAAAUUUCGGAGCUUAACUCCGAAACUGCAUUCCAUACUGCGGUGCUUGGGGACUGGAGAGGAGACUGGAAUUCAUGGUGUAGCAGUGAAAUGCGUAGAGAUCAUGAGGAAGACCAGUGGCGAAGGCGGGUCUCUGGACAGUUCCUGACACUGAGGCACGAAGGCUAGGGGAGCGAACGGGAUUAGAUAUCUCCGUAGU